rnacentral:rRNA from 1 species
GAUGAACGCUGGCGGCGUGCCUAAUACAUGCAAGUCGAACGAACAGAUGAGGAGCUUGCUCCUCUGACGUUAGCGGCGGACGGGUGAGUAACACGUGGAUAACCUACCUAUAAGACUGGGAUAACUUCGGGAAACCGGAGCUAAUACCGGAUAAUAUAUUGAACCGCAUGGUUCAAUAGUGAAAGACGGUUUUGCUGUCACUUAUAGAUGGAUCCGCGCCGCAUUAGCUAGUUGGUAAGGUAACGGCUUACCAAGGCAACGAUGCGUAGCCGACCUGAGAGGGUGAUCGGCCACACUGGAACUGAGACACGGUCCAGACUCCUACGGGAGGCAGCAGUAGGGAAUCUUCCGCAAUGGGCGAAAGCCUGGCGGAGCAACGCCGCGUGAGUGAUGAAGGUCUUCGGAUCGUAAAACUCUGUUAUUAGGGAAGAACAAAUGUGUAAGUAACUAUGCACGUCUUGACGGUACCUAAUCAGAAAGCCACGGCUAACUACGUG